rnacentral:lncRNA from 10 species
GCACAACACGGGGCCAGACACACGGAAAGGGCCCCAAGGGUCAGCCCCCGGGCUGCCCUCCACGCAGACCCCACAGGGUCUCCUCGUCGCCCCCCCGACCUCCGCGCGCGUGCGCACAAGCUGCUAGAGGGAGCGGCGGGCAGCGGACGGCGGGAAAAGGAGACUUACCUCGGUAUUCCUCCAUACGCCCCCCUUGAUCAUAAUUCGAGGCAUCUUGGCGGCAGGGUGUCUCGGCAAGCAGCCGAGAGGAGCUUCAGAGAAGUAGUAACAGCGAUUGGGCCACCGGACUCAAAGCCGCCACUUCCUCCAAGCGCGACCUUCUGCUUUGAAGAUCUGCGCAAGCGCAAGGUCUUCGAGAUUUUAACACUGGAGCAUAGAGGAGGUCAGUCUCUACUGACUGCUGAACAUCCAACACGUGACACCCAGGAGUUGUCUACCACCAUGUUUUGGACUAAGGGAAAAAAGCAGAAUUCAGAAAAAUGCAACAUCAUGGAAGUUCCAGGAUGUCUGAAACCAGAGCACUGUAGCCACAAACAUCAGAACACAAACACACUGUUCUCCAGGAUGGCCUGCUUGGCCAGCCUCCCCCACCAUACUACUGCAGCCUCACCAGCCAGGUAUGGGAACCCUUACAAAGAGGCCACAGGGACUGCCAACAAUCUCUUGAGGGACAGCCAUAAGAAGCAUCUAUCGUUAGGCAACCAGACUAUAUGGUCAGUCACUGUGAAUCUUUGGUAAAGUGAGUGGCCACUGCUAAAUAGUCUCACUCACCCAAGGCAUUUUUCCCCAAACAUGUUCCUUAGAACACCAGUUACAUAAAAUACUCCAUUUAAAAAAAAACAAAAAAUAAAAAAAAACAUGGUUUUUAUGUCCUCCCCUCUUGCAGAGUCACUGAAAUUAAAGCCUGUAAGAAGCUGUCAGAUGAAAAAAUCUGUUUCUCCCUGUUGAGAGUUGAAUUGUAUUCCCCCCAAAUAGAUAUGUUCAAGUCCUAACCCCUGCUACCUGUAAAUGUGACCUUAUUUGGAAAUAGAGUCUUUGCAGAUGUAAUCAAGUUAAAAUGAGAUCAUACUGGAGUAGGUUGUCCCUAAAUCCAAUGAGUAGUGUCCUUAUAAGUGGAGAAGAAAAAAGAUACAGACACACAGGGGGAAUAUCAUGGGAAGAAAGAGGCAGAGAUUGGAGUGAUGCAGCUCCAAGCCAAGGAAUGCCAAGGAUUCUGGCAGCCACCAGAAGCCAGGAGAAGGCAUGGAACACAUUCUCCCUCUGAGCCCCAAGAAGGAGCCAGCCCUGCUGACACUUUGAUUUUGGACUCCCAGCCUCCAGAACUCAGAUCCUUGAAUAACAUCAUUUUGUGCAAGAUCGUUUCAUGAUAACAUUGAUGAGUCCAGGCAUGGUGGCUCAUGCCCGUAAUUCCAACACUCGGGGAGGCCAAGGCAGGAGGAUUGCUUGAGCCCAGGAGUUUG